rnacentral:rRNA from 1 species
AACGAACGCUGGCGGCAGGCUUAACACAUGCAAGUCGAACGCCCCGCAAGGGGAGUGGCAGACGGGUGAGUAACGCGUGGGAACAUACCCUUUUCUACGGAAUAGCUCUGGGAAACUGGAAUUAAUACCGUAUACGCCCUACGGGGGAAAGAUUUAUCGGGGAAGGAUUGGCCCGCGUUGGAUUAGCUAGUUGGUGGGGUAAAGGCCUACCAAGGCGACGAUCCAUAGCUGGUCUGAGAGGAUGAUCAGCCACAUUGGGACUGAGACACGGCCCAAACUCCUACGGGAGGCAGCAGUGGGGAAUAUUGGACAAUGGGCGCAAGCCUGAUCCAGCCAUGCCGCGUGAGUGAUGAAUGCCUUAGGGUUGUAAAGCUCUUUCACCGAUGAAGAUAAUGACGGUAGUCGGAGAAGAAGCCCCGGCUAACUUCGUGCCAGCAGCCGCAGUAAGAC